rnacentral:lncRNA from 1 species
CUUAUCUAGAAACACCCUGUACUGAUGACGAACAUAGCCAGUUCGUUAGAUUAGAAUGACAGGGUUCCAACUAACAAAAUCGCAUAUUUGGAGUUAUUAGUGUGAAAAGGUUCCAACUGAUCUUGUUUAUCUUUUGUUCUGACAACAGCGCUGUCUAACAACUUAAUUCUGACUUAUUACAAUGCCAAGGUUCCAUCUGUGAACAUAAAUAAAACAAAACUAGAAUGACAUGGUUUCAGGUGACACAUGAAACCUUGUCACUCAACCAAUAAUUAAGAUUUGCAUGUAUUCGUUUGACAAUGUUUCAACCAUGUUUCAACUGCAACAGCUGUUCAUGUUCACUGUCUAGUAUUGAGGUUAUGUUUUUAUUGUUGUUUAUAACAAUGACGGUACUAAAUGAGUUGCGACGACUUAUUACUGAGUUAUUAAGUGAGGAUGAAGAAUUAGAGGACUCUGGUGAUUCUUACUCCCCAUCAUAAGAAAGUUUAAGCGAUUAAAAUGAAGAAAUUACUGACAGGCGACCCAGAAAUAAAGCCAAGAAGCGUGUUCCUGCAGAUAUUUCAACAACGGCAACCAAAUCAAAACCAGCCUUGAUGCCCAUUGAUCUCCCAUCAACUUCAACCGCUGGCGCUCACUAAACUACUUCAAAUAUUCAAAUGAUGAGGUCCAUUUGCCUAUAAAUCCGGUUGGGGAAGAAUUUAUUAUUGAUCAGGUAACAAACACUAAACCUCCUCCUGUUAAGAGAAGAAAAAGGGAUGUUUCUUCUUGGAAAAGCCAGAAACGUUAUAUCAGCCAUCAAAAAGGGGAAUCUUAUGUGAGUCGUAGAGGAGUUGUAGUGCCCGCUAAAGAAGUUAAAAGUUUGAAGGACUGUUUAAAUGACUGUAAAUUUAAAUGUGGGGUAUCUGUUAGUGAAAAUGAAAGAAAAGCUUUGUUUAAGGCGUUUUAUGGCAUGAAUCAAAAUGGAAAACAUCAAUAUAUCUUGGGUACAACCACAAAACAUCAGACAGAAAGACCUAAAGAUAGGAACAGAAAAUCAUACAAAAAAUUCACUUUUAGGUACUUCUUUAAUGUUGGUAACCAAAAGGUACAAGUCUGCAAAAAUUUUACUUAGGAACACUAAGCAUCUCACAAAAACCUGUCUAUACGGUUCAUAAUAACAAAGAUGAGGUCACCAAUACACCCAAGCCGGAUGGUAGGGGUAAAAGUGCCCAAAGUUCAAGACGCCUCAAUGAAGAAAUAAAAGAAACUGUGAGAAAUCACAUAAAAUCUUUUCCCAAUGUUGAGUCUCAUUACUGUAGGGCCACAACACAAAGAAAGUAUCUGGAUUCAAACCUCAAUUUAGCUAAAAUGUACAAACUUAACACCGAAAAGUGUAGGGAGGAAAAUGUUGUGCCUGUUAAGCUAAGUAUGUAUCGACGUAUUUCAUCCUCUUAAGUAUUAAACUUUCAGUUGUUCCCAUUCUUCCAAGUUUCAGUUUUAGAAUUCACACAAUCCCUGCAUUUGAUCUCAUUCAAAACCUCUUUUUUGGAAGAGAAUGCAGUGACCGUAAUCUUGAGGUUUGCUGUAUCGGCGUCCAAGAAAGGAAGAGUGACACAAAAAAGCAAGCAAAGAGAAGCCGAAGAAAACGCACCAAUCUGGAAAUUGAUAAAACCCAAACACCUAGUGAACUCCAAGGCAACACUCUCAGCGGAAAAAAUAAAGGAUAUCAAGUCAAUGUUAAAGUUUAUGCCCUUGCAAGACAAAGCGUUCUACACCACAUUAUUAAAGCUGUGAAAAUGUUGAUAUAGGUCAAAAACACUUACUGUACCUUUCUUUAAAAUAAAGUCAUAGUAAUUGAAAUUUA